rnacentral:hammerhead_ribozyme from 1 species
AUCUAGCUGACGAGUCCCAAAUAGGAUGAAACGUACGUCUUGAU